AGCCUUGAGGUGUUUUACAUGUCGGAUUGCAAAUCCGAAGUAGCCGAUUAGCGUCGGCCGGGGCUU
rnacentral:tRNA from 1 species